rnacentral:rRNA from 1 species
UGCGCAGGCGGUUCUGCAAGUCAGAUGUGAAAUCCCCGGGCUUAACCUGGGAACUGCGUUUGAAACUACGGAGCUAGAGUGCGGCAGAGGGGUGGGAUUCGCGUAGGUAGCAGUGAAAUGCGUAGAUAUGUGGAGGAACACCGAUGGCGAAGGCAGCCCCCUGGGCCGACACUGACGCUCAGGCACGAAAGCGUGGGGAGCAAACAGGAUUAGAUACCCUGGUAGUCCACGCCCUAAACUAUGUCAACUAGUUGUCGGGAAAGCAAUUUCUUGGUAACGAAGCUAACGCGUGAAGUUGACCGCCUGGGGAGUACGGUCGCAAGAUUAAA